GUCGAACGCCCCUUCGGGGGAGUGGCAGACGGGUGAGUAACGCGUGGGAAUCUACCCAGCUCUACGGAACAACACAGGGAAACUUGUGCUAAUACCGUAUACGUCCUUCGGGAGAAAGAUUUAUCGGAGUUGGAUGAGCCCGCGUUGGAUUAGCUAGUUGGUGGGGUAAUGGCCUACCAAGGCGACGAUCCAUAGCUGGUCUGAGAGGAUGAUCAGCCACAUUGGGACUGAGACACGGCCCAAACUCCUACGGGAGGCAGCAGUGGGGAAUAUUGGACAAUGGGCGCAAGCCUGAUCCAGCCAUGCCGCGUGAGUGAUGAAGGCCCUAGGGUUGUAAAGCUCUUUCAGUGGGGAAGAUAAUGACGGUACCCACAGAAGAAGCCCCGGCUAACUUCGUGCCAGCAGCCGCGGUAAUACGAAGGGGGCUAGCGUUGUUCGGAAUUACUGGGCGUAAAGCGCACGUAGGCGGAUUGUUUAGUGAGGGGUGAAAUCCCAGGGCUCAACCCUGGAACUGCCUCUCAUACUGGCAGUCUCGAGUCCGGAAGAGGUGAGUGGAAUUCCGAGUGUAGAGGUGAAAUUCGUAGAUAUUCGGAGGAACACCAGUGGCGAA
rnacentral:rRNA from 1 species